UACGGAGGGUGCAAGCGUUAUCCGGAAUCAUUGGGUUUAAAGGGUCCGCAGGCGGUCUUAUAAGUCAGGGGUGAAAGCCUACAGCUCAACUGUAGAACUGCCAUUGAUACUGUAAGACUUGAAUUCGGUCGAAGUGGGCGGAAUAUGACAUGUAGCGGUGAAAUGCUUAGAUAUGUCAUAGAACACCGAUAGCGAAGGCAGCUCACUAGGCCUGGAUUGACGCUCAGGGACGAAAGCGUGGGGAGCAAACAGG
rnacentral:rRNA from 1 species